CUUCUUCGAUUUGCUGCGGGCAGAUAAAGUGGAUGUGAGAAUCAAUGCCGCCCGCUGUCAGGAUUUGACCUUCACCCGCCACCACUUCAGUGCCCGGGCCAAUGAUGAUAUCGACAUUGUCCUGAAUGUCCGGGUUACCGGCUUUGCCUAUACCCGCAAUGCGACCGCCUUUUACAGCGACAUCUGCUUUUACGAUGCCCCAGUAAUCGAGCACGACAACAUUGGUGAUCACCAUGUCCGGUGUUUCGCUGCUCGGGCGUUGGCUUUGUCCCAUACCAUCGCGAAU
rnacentral:sRNA from 1 species